AUGGUCAGGGGGCUGCGAGGGGGCAGGGCUGGUGGCGGCUUGCUCCUGCUACAAGGAAUUGCUUUCAUGGGCUUGAACGGACCAGAUCCUGAGGACAGAAGUCGGCUCCCUCUGCCCCGCCCGGCUGUGGCAGCCUGGGUGUCCUCCUUCCUGCUGGCCUGUGGGUUUGCGGGCUCAGGUGCUCCCCAAAAUGUGGCUGAGCCACAUCCAGGGCCCCCUGCACCCUGCCUCACAUCCACCUGUCCUCUUCAUUCCAGGAAUGGGCCCCUCAGAAUGUUUCCAUGGACCACGGACCAUGUGGCCCCUGUCCUGCAUCUCACCACCAGGAGCCCUCAGAGGGCACCCAUGCAGGCCUCAGCCCACCCCGAGCCCUCAGAGCUGAGCCCAGGGCAGGCCCUCCACUCAUGGAGCAGAUGCUCCCUGGACCGCCCCUUCUUCAGGAGGCCCUUGUGCCCAGAACCCUGCAGCGUGGGCUCCCCCCAUCCCCGGGUCUGGGCUCCAGUCCCCGUCGCAGUGCCACCUCCUCCUGGAGCCCCAGGUCUCCCGAGCCUCCCCCACCUCUGCCUGCCCAAGGUGGCGCAUUUGGGAGGCGGCAUAGCCCAGGGCUCCAGCAUGUGGGACCCUCCUCCAGCCACCUGUGCCUCGGACAGGACCCCUGCCCUCUCUGUGCCUUGCAUGUCGAAGCUGUCCCAAGGUCAUGGUAGGACCCUUUCUGGGCUGACAGGAGGGUGUGGGGGCGCACGAGGUCCUGGGACCACAGGUGGUCUGCACACUCGCUGCACUCACUCUGGGGCGUCCAGUGGCCUGUGGCAUGGCGGUGACGCUGAGCUGCAGGAGGGAUCCUGGGCGGAUGUCAGUGGGGUUGUCCCUCUGUGUGGCAGGGCCCUGGGUAAAAUGACCUCUGGGCCCCUCUAUCUCUAUCCUCCCACCGUGGUUCCUGGUGACCCCCACGACCAGUGUCUGCUCAGAUCUGUGAGACUUGGAACAAAUGUCGAUCCUUGUCCAGUCCCCUAUCUGAGAGAUGAGCAGAAGUGUCGCCUUGUCUGA
rnacentral:lncRNA from 1 species